rnacentral:rRNA from 1 species
UACGUAGGGAGCAAGCGUUUGUCCGGAAUCAUUGGGCGUAAAGCGCGCGUAGGCGGCCCGAUAAGUCCGUUGUGAAAGUCAAAGGCUCAACCUUUGAAUGCCGAUGGAUACUGUCGGGCUAGAGUCCGGAAGAGGCGAGUGGAAUUCCUGGUGUAGCGGUGAAUGCGCAGAUAUCAGGAGGAACACCAUAGUCGAAGGCAGCUCGCUGGGACGGUACUGACGCUGAGACGCGAAAGCGUGGGGAGCAAACAGG